AGCUAGAGAGAGCCAAGACGCAACUGAAAUCCAUGCUCAUGAUGAACUUGGAGUCACGACCGGUCAUCUUUGAAGACGUAGGUCGACAAGUACUUGCGACAGGCAAGAGGAAGCUGCCACAUGAGCUGUGUGAGCUCAUCAGUAAUAUUACAGCCAGUGACAUCAAGAGAGUUACAACGAAAAUGCUGCGUAGUAAGCCUGCGGUGGCAGCACUGGGAGAUCUGACAGAGCUGCCCUCAUACGAGGACAUUCAAGCCGCUCUCUCUAGUAAAGACGGACGUCUGCCUCGCAUAUACCGCCUGUUCCGAUAGAGGACUGACCGCUGGCACCAUCUAGACGCAAAUAUGAGGACUGACCCAACAAAUGCCAUUCUGGACUGGAAUUUAAGUGCAAUGCUUAGACUGUGGUUGUAUUUCAUCUAUAAAGUACUUAAAACGUGAGUUUAAAACAAUAGUUGACCCAAAAAUCACCCUCAUGUCAUUUCAAAACUGUUGGACAUUCUACUGUGGAACAUAAAAGAAGAUAUUUUGAAAAAAGUCUUUUUUUUUUGUCUAUAAAUUAAGUCAAUGAGCUCUAAUGGGUUUGGUUCUUGAACAUAUCUUUUCUGUUAUGCAGAAGAAAGAAAGGUUUGUAAUGACAUGAGGGUGUCUAAGUGACCAUUUUGAAAUUGGCCGAGUUUAAAUUCACACACCAAUGCAUUAUUUUGCAUGAUUUUGUUGAAUUCGCCAUGUGUUUAAUGUACAUGUGCUACUUUCACAUUUCUAUCUUAAUUGGCUCGACAAGUGGACUUUUCCAUGGCAUUUGUUCACAUUUCUGCAUUGUUGUUCAUAGGCUGUGCUUUUCUGUGUAAAACUGGGCAAACCCAAAUGAUAUUUCACACAUCACAUACCAAUUUUCAGAAAGUUCUACAAAACCCUUAUGCUUUAGUCAGUAUAUUGAAAUAUCUGAACAGAAUGACAAACUGUGCGGUCUACCACUUACCCUUGCUGUGAAAACACUGUACAGAAUGAUAAUCCUGUUUUCUCUUGCUAAAUCACUGUUAACAUGAACCUCUGAUCACUAAUUAAGAGUUUGUUUGCCAGAUUAAUGUAUGUCUGUUUAGCGGUUUGUGUUGUAUUACCCUACAAGAAUAUAUUUAUUCCCUUGUACUUCAUCAGUACAUGUUUACUGUUAUAUAUUAUUUUUUCCAUUGCUGCCUAUUAAGAUGGAAAUGGUUGAAACUGUAAUGAGCAAAAACUCUCAUGUUCCCUUAAAAAAUAAAAGCUUGAUCCUUUGUAUUAUUUAUUUCAUGUACACAUUUGGUCCAAAAUGUGUAACCGAAACAAAUAAGAAAUAACACCUCAAGUAUGAGUUUUUGUAUUACUUUACAUAGUAAAUAAACAUUUA